rnacentral:rRNA from 1 species
AAUAGAUACCCUGGUAGUCCACGCCGUAAACGAUGGAUACUAGCUGUUGGUGGCAACAUCAGUGGCUAAGCGAAAGUGAUAAGUAUCCCACCUGGGGAGUACGAACGCAAGUUUGAAACUCAAAGGAAUUGACGGGGGCCCGCACAAGCGGUGGAGCAUGUGGUUUAAUUCGAUGAUACGCGAGGAACCUUACCAAGGCUUAAAUGUAGAUUGACCGAUUUGGAAACAGAUCUUUCGCAAGACAAUUUACAAGGUGCUGCAUGGUUGUCGUCAGCUCGUGCCGUGAGGUGUCAGGUUAAGUCCUAUAACGAGCGCAACCCCUGUUGUUAGUUGCCAGCGAGUCAAGUCGGGAACUCUAACAAGACUGCCAGUGUAAACUGUGAGGAAGGUGGGGAUGACGUCAAAUCAUCACGGCCCUUACGCCUUGGGCUACACACGUGCUACAAUGGCCGGUACAGAGAGCAGCCACUGGGUGACCAGGAGCGAAUCUAUAAAGCCGGUCACAGUUCGGAUCGGAGU